GGCAGCCCGAAGCUAUGACAAUUUGUUUCCCUUUAUAUCAAGAAUUGUGGAAUUUUUUUCAGUCAUCACAUUUCUUUUCUUUUAUUGUAUAGUUUGUCUUUAGUCUAGUCAUCUUCCCAGCCCUACAUUUUUUAAGCCAAAUGGUUGGCAAUAUCAAAGCUUUUAAAAAUAUUUCAGAGGAGCAGAACAAAGGGACUAUUCUGUCUGCUUAUUUCUUAUAGACUAGAGAAUAGACUACUAAAACAUAAUAGUCAUGCUGUUAUCAUGGCAACUUCCAAGAAGAAAAAGAAACAGUUGGACAGUUCUUGAGAUAUAGGCUCUUGAGCUAUGUAGGGAUUCAAAGAGUGUCAAGAAACACAUCUUUCUCAACUGGGGAUAUAUUAUUCUUCCAAAUAUCAGAAAAUUUAGUAGGCAAAAAUUGAAAGAUGAACUAUUUUAAGACUGAAGAAAUAAUAGAAGAUAGGAUGAAAUAAUAAUUAUAGAAGCAGAACCCAUUGUAUCCUCUAUGUUAGAAGCUGCCAUGCAUUAUUUUAUUUCCUGGCAUAUUGGGGAUGAGAAGAAAGAAAGGUUUUGCAGUUAUGUUAUGGCCCAGAAGAAAGAGAGGCAGGGCAGUAGUGGAAACUUCACUUAAAGACCAUUAAAUUGCAGGGAAGACUUUAUCUUUUUGUACCACUUUCUGAGAAGCCAACAGACUGUUGUAUUCAUAUCUUGCAGUUGGACUUUCCAUAGACAACUGGUUGGCAAAUGUAGGAACAGAACACCCUGAGUCCUCACAGGGAGAUAGGGCGGGAUAUAAAUAAAGUUUUAUUAUUUAUUAUUAAUGCUUACCUAGAACUUUGAACCGAUCUACUAUGAUUCUUCUUCUGUUCCUAUGACAAGAGGAUUCAGAUUAUAUUCAGCCCUUCACACUUGCAAUUUGAACUUUUGCAGAUUUGAUUAUUUGCAGAUUUAAUUAGCCUCUAGGAGGUUAAAAAAAUAGGAUUUUCAGUUUGAGAAGGCUGAGCAAAGGAAGAUAUAUGCUUUUGAACUGUGGUGUUGGAGGAAAAUUCUGAGAGUGCCUUGGACCGCAGGAAGAUCCAACCAGUCCAUACUCCAGGAAAUAAUGCCGGUUGCUCACUGGAGGGAAGGAUAUUAGAGGCAAAGAUGAAGUACUUUGGCCACAUCAUGAGAAGACAGGAAAGCUUGGAGAAGGGAAUGAUGCUGGGGAAAAUGGAAGGAAAAAGGAAGAGAGGCCGACCAAGGGCAAGAUGGAUGGAUGGUAUCCUUGAAGUAACUGGCUUGAUCUUGAAGGAGCUGGGGGUGGCCACGGCGGACAGGCAGCUCUGACGUGAGCUGGUCCAGGACUUCACGAAGAGUCAGAAGCAACUGAACAAAUAAACAACAAAGCUAUGUAUGGUAGCCAGUAUUGGGCAUAUAAUGUUCAUAUAGAUAUGAUUUCUUUUUUACCCCAACAGAAUCCCACAAUAAUAAGCAGGCAUCGACUCCAACCCCCACCCCACCUUCAAAGCAUAAAAUUGGCAAUGAUGAACAGCAUGGCAUAAGAUGAUCAGACAAUAUGAGGAAACAUGGUUUUAUGAUGUUAAUGUUGUAAGCAAUCAAGAAUAAAAUAGUUUUUCUGUGCCUCAUCAAAGGUAAUAGUGUCAUCGCAUCUAAACCAAUUAGCAGGAAAGCAGAAAUCAAAAUUAUGUUUUAUUGAGGGCCCUGAGCCUGAAAUUCAGAUAUUUGCAAAUCAAUGAUACAUCUCAUGAGUUUAAAUUGAAUGGAUUUAUGAAGAUUAUCAUGAAAAUAUUUUUUAGAUAAAUGGGUGUCUUAGUCUAAAGAAUAGAGCUCAUGUGAAGCAAUUUUGCAGAGUUAAUUAAAAAGAAAGUGAUUAUAAACAUUUGGAGAUGAGACCCUUAAGAGCUAUUCAUGAAAACAGAAUUUUAUUUAACAACACAGCAAUAUGAUUGCAUACUUACUAUUUCUGUUGCAAGUGUUUUGUUCAGAAAACAGUUGCAACACAAAAGGAAAUCUGGAAGGACAGAUGGACUGGUCAGUUUCAAAGUAUGUUGGAUAAGUGGCUCUGAUCAGUAGGGCAGUGAAUCUAUUCUAGGUUUUAGCCAUUAUUUUAAAGAAGCUGUCCAUGGUGUCAAACCUAUUUUUAAGUACUAGCUGUGCCCGGCCACGCGUUGCUGUGGCGAAAUAUGGUGGUAUGGGAAAUAAAGUAUUGAGGAAUUGGUGGUAGUUAAGGUCAAGGGUAAAGGUUUUCCCCAGACAUUAAGUCCAGUCGUGUCUUACUCUGGAGGUUGGUGCUCAUCUCCAUUUCUAAGCCGAAGAGCCGGCGUUGUCCGUAGACUCCUCCAAGGUCAUGUGGCAUGACUACAUGGAGCAGCGUUACCUUCCCGCCGGAGCAGUACCUAUUGAUGCACUCACAUUUGCAUGUUUUCGAACUUCUGGGUUGGCAGAAGCUGGGGCUAACAGUGGGGGCUCUCUCUGCUCCCUCAAUUCAAACCUGCGGCCUUUCGGUCCAGAAGUUCAGCAGCUCAGCGCUUUAACACGCUGCGCCAUCAGGGGAUAUUAUUUCCUAAAGGUUGUGAAUAUACAAUAUUUCUGAUUGGUUUUUUUUGUUUGUUGGAGGCAAGUAUGAAUGCUGCAAUUAGGAAAAAUGAUUAGGAUGUAAUGGCCUUGCAGCUUUAAAGCCUGGCUGUUUCCUCCCUGAGUGAAUUUUUUGUUGGGAGGUGUUAGCUGGCCCUGAUUGUUUCCUGUCUGGAAUACCCUUGUUUUCAGAGUGAUGUUGUUUGCGAUAUUUUAUGUGCUUCUACUGUCUGUGGCCCUGAGAAAACAGGAUUUGCCAGACUUUGAUGAUGGGAAUACUUUGUUGGGAGGUGUUAGCUGGCCCUGAUUGUUUCCUGUGUGGAAUUCCACUGUUUAUUUACUGUCCUGGUAUUAGAGAUUAUAUUGUUCUGCAUUAUUCUAUCCCAGUCAUUAUUUCAUAUUAAAGAAGAAUCUCACUUAUCCAACAUUCGCUUAUAAAAUGUUCUGGAUUAUCCAACGCAGUCUGCCUUUUCAUAAUCAAUGUUUUUGUAGUCAGUGUUUUAAAUUCAUUGUGAUAUUUUAGUGGUAAAUUUGUAAAUACAGUACAGUAGAGUCUCACUUAUCCAACAUAAACGGGCCGGCAGAACGUUGGAUAAGCGAAUAUGUUGGAUAAUGAGGAAUUAAGGAUAACCCUAUUAAACAUCAAAUUAAGUUAUGAUUUUGCAAAUUAAGCACCAAAACAUCAUGUUAGACAACAAAUUUGUCAGAAAAAGUUCAGUACACUGUAAUGCUAUAUAGUAAUUACUGUAUUUAUGAAUUUAGCACCAAAAUAUCACGAUAUAUUGAAAGCAUUGACUACAAAAAUGCGUUGGAUAAUCCAGAACGUUGGAUAAGCGAGUGUUGGAUAAGUGAGACUCUACUGUAAAUACUACAUAGCAUUACUGCGCAUGGAACUACUUUUUCUGUCAAAUUUGUUGUAUAAUAUGAUGUUUUGGUACUUAAUUUGUAUAACGAUUACCUAAUUUGAUGUUUAAUUGGCUUUUCCUGAAUCCCUUCUUAUUAUCCAACAUAUUCACUUAUCCUGCCGGCCUGUUUACAUUGGAUAAGUGAGACUCUACUGUAUAUUUCUAAUCUUAUAUUAUCUGCUCAGAACUGGAUUAUCUGAGGCCCCUUCUUCACAGCUGUAUAAAAUGCACACUGAAGUGGAUUAUAUGGUAGUGCGGAGUCAAGAUAAUCCAGUGCAAAGCAGAUAAUAUAAGAUUCUAAAUGGGUUAUAUAGCUGUGUGGAAGGGCCUUGAGUCUACACUGCCAUAUAAUCCAGUGCAAAUUAGAUAAUCUGUGGAAGAAGUCUAAGUGAGGCCUAAAUCUGCCUGUCCCCUAACUGAAACCUGGCUGUCCCUUGGUUGCUAGGCAACCAAGUGGGCAGAGAUUAGCCCUCUAAACUGGCAGCAAUUGGAUAAAAAAAAUUAUUGCUCUCCCUCUAAUUAGGACUUUAUUUUUCUUUUCUUUUUGUUGUAUCAACCUUGAGGCGUGGAUGAUGGGUUGUGUUGUCAAAUUUUGAGGUUGGGGGGCCUGUAGUUUUGUUGUUUUGUGAAUUGCCGUGAUGCCAUCACUCUUUUAUAUAUAUAGAUACUUAGUGCCUCGGAUAGAAUCUGGGGUACUGUUGCUUUAUCCAGGCAGAGGCCACAAGGGGACACAAGAAAGAGGAGAAUAGUUCAUUUUAUUGAGGUGGAGGGUAGGUUGAAGGAGCAAAACCAUUUUGCCCUGUUUUCCUGUUAUUCCCUCCACCCAUGUCCCCGUCAUGGAAACAACCCUCAUUUAUGAUAUGGGAAGUGGGGAGUUGGAAUGACCAGCAAAAAUGGGAGAAAUGGUUUGCCUCUUUCAACUCCCUCCCCCCUUAAAAUAGACUAUCCUGUUAGAGUUUUAUAUUAUUUAGGUCAUUUCUUAUGUGAAAAUGGAUAAGUGUUUGUAAGAAUCAUGUCCUCUCCAUGUUUGACCAGCAGCAAUCAAGACACCUGCUAAAGACUGAUUGCUAUUAAUAGAGACUGAGUAAAUCUUGAGUUAGUGAAUGUGAAUGUGAUUGUUAUGGUGAUGAUGAUGGUGUUGCUGUUGGAAAGGAGCUGAAGAAAGCUUGAAGAUAACAUUUUGUUUCGCCAGUUGAAAGCUGCUGAUAAAAGCCAAGGACUGUUAUGUUUGUAUAUAUUUUCAUAUAAAUCUUUCUUUACUAAAAGACAGUUUGUUUUGGGGUUUUCUCCUUGGACGAAGGGUGCAACUUCCGCAGAAGGGGUUGAAUGUUUGGAACCCCAAUUUGAUAGCUGCGACAUAUCCUUCUCUCUCUAGCACUUCCUUGUGGUCUUCUCCCAGAUAAUUGAACAGUACCGAAUCUGGAUUCAAACUCAAAGGAGCUUCACUAGCAGAGUAACAAUGGAAGCACUCACUUCCCCCCAAGUGAGCCUACUGUGGGAUGUUGGCAUGGAAGGCACUCUGUGGCCUGCGCACAAGAGAAAGAUUAGCUGUUUAGGCAAGAAAUAAAAAACACAACAUUCUUUUGCCUAAAAGCUAUUGCAGUUGUGGGGCUUUGCACUCCUUUAUCCCAUAGGCAAGAGUGAAGGAGUACUCUCAUAUUCAUUUGCAUCUUGUUGGUAUCUUUGUCUUGAAUCAGAUAGGGAGUCAUUUUAUGUAUGUGAAUCUGGAUAUUAUGGCAUCAUACUUGGGAGAAAGCUCCAUUAAUGCUCAAUGCAUGUUUAUUGUACAAACAGCAGAGCUAUUGUACUAUUAAAGUGAUUUUAAAAAGAUUUUCAGGAAGCUGAACAAGCGGACAAGAAGAAGGACAACUGAAAUGAAUGUAGUCAGUUUUAGCCCUAAGACAGAACAUAUGAGGAUUUCAGGAGGAAGUAAAUUCUGCCCUUCUUUUUACACACCUUUGUGUAGAUCUUUGCAUGCCCAGCGUAUGUGCAUGCAUUUUCAUGGGAUAUUUGGAAGAGCAUACAGAAUUGUGGAAUGGUAACUGACUGGGUCAAUUGACUGAGCAAAUCACACUCCGUCAUCCUCAGAGGAAGGCAAGGACAAACUCCCUGUGAAUGACUUUUGCCAAGAAACAGUUUUGCCUUAGUGUAACCAUAAGUCAGAAACAACUUUAAAGUAAACAAUAAUAAUAACACCAAUAAAUGCACUUCAUUCCUAUUAUACCCUAAAUGUAGGAUUUUUUUUCAUGACAGGAAUGACUUGAGAAAUUGCAAGUUGCUUCUGGUGUGAGAGAAUUGGCCGUCUGCAAGGACGUUGUCCAGGGGACACCAGGAUGUUUGAUGUUUUAUCAUCUUUGUGGGAGGCUUCUCUCAUGUCCCCGCAUGGGGAGCUGGAGCUGACAGAGGGAGCUCAUCCACUCUUUCCCUGGAUUCGAACUGGCAACCUUCAGAACCAAUUGAAGAAAGUUCAAGCAAACUACCCAAAACUGGUUCUUCAAGUAAAGUGAACUCUUUUCAUCAUGUGCUUCAAACCAGGCUUUUGCCCAACUAAAUAGCUUAAUCGUUAAAAUUUUAUUUUAUGCUGUUUUGAUUUGUUGCACAAUGCUUUGGCAACUUUUGAGGAAAGCUAAUAAAAAUAAAAUGAAUUAAA